rnacentral:rRNA from 1 species
ACGCUGGCGGCGUGCUUAACACAUGCAAGUCGAACGAGAAAUGAUAUUACGAUCUCUUCGGAGUGACGGUUUUAUUUCGAGUGGCGGACGGGUGAGUAACGCGUGAGCAACCUGCCCUAUACCGGGGGAUACCAGUUGGAAACGACUGUUAAUACCGCAUAAGCGCACGAUAAGACAUCUUGUUGUGUGAAAAACUCCGGUGGUAUAGGAUGGGCUCGCGUAUGAUUAGCCAGUUGGCGGGGUAAAGGCCCACCAAAGCGACGAUCAUUAGCCGACCUGAGAGGGCGACCGGCCACAUUGGGACUGAGACACGGCCCAAACUCCUACGGGAGGCAGCAGUGGGGAAUAUUGCACAAUGGGCGAAAGCCUGAUGCAGCGACGCCGCGUGAGUGAGGAAGUAUUUCGGUAUGUAAAGCUCUAUCAGCAGGGAAGAAAGAAAUGACGGUACCUGAGUAAGAAGCUCCGGCUAAAUACGUGCCAGCAGCCGCGGUAAUACGUAUGGAGCAAGCGUUAUCCGGAUUUACUGGGUGUAAAGGGAGCGUAGGCGGCAGAGCGAGUCUGAUGUGAAAGCCCGGGGCUCAACCCCGGUAGUGCAUUGGAAACUGUUCAGCUCGAGUGUCGGAGGGGUAAGCGGAAUUCCUGGUGUAGCGGUGAAAUGCGUAGAUAUCAGGAAGAACACCGGAGGCGAAGGCGGCUUACUGGACGAUUACUGACGCUGAGGCUCGAAAGCGUGGGGAGCGAACAGGAUUAGAUACCCUGGUAGUCCACGCUGUAAACGAUGAAUACUAGGUGUCGGUACCCGAAGGGUAUCGGUGCCGUCGCAAACGCAUUAAGUAUUCCACCUGGGGAGUACGUUCGCAAGAAUGAAACUCAAAGGAAUUGACGGGGACCCGCACAAGCGGUGGAGCAU